rnacentral:lncRNA from 1 species
UGGACAUCUAUGGAGAAAAGGAUGAGGGAGACAUAUCCAACUCUUGACAAAGAAAAGAGAUAGAGAGAGUUACCUUCAACAACCAACUAUUGAUUGUAAGAAAGAAGAGAUAGAAAGGGAGAAGGCGCCCCACUUUUUCUCUCAUAGAAAAUCCCUCACGCCAACACCUUAGGUGUCCAUGCUUCUCCAUGCCUAAUCUUAUC